GAAAAUUGCUGGAGAAUGGAAACCAAAGUUGGAUGCUCUUGAUGUGGAUGCCAGUAAUGGCAACUCAUUGGAGGCUCAUGCCUUUUUGCAGCUUUUGGAUACUUUUGGCAUUGCAUCUGAUUUUAAUGACGUGGAGUUAUCCAGGCUUGUGCCAAUGGUCUCCCGUCGCCGUCAAGCAGCUGAUUUAUGCCGAUCUCUAGGCUUAUCAGACAAAAUGCCAGGUGUCAUCGAAGUAUUGGUUAACAGUGGAAGGCAAAUUGAUGCUGUG
rnacentral:misc_RNA from 1 species